UACGUAGGGUGCGAGCGUUAAUCGGAAUUACUGGGCGUAAAGCGUGCGCAGGCGGCUAUGCAAGACAGAUGUGAAAUCCCCGGGCUCAACCUGGGAACUGCAUUUGUGACUGCAUGGCUAGAGUACGGCAGAGGGGGAUGGAAUUCCGCGUGUAGCAGUGAAAUGCGUAGAUAUGCGGAGGAACACCGAUGGCGAAGGCAAUCCCCUGGGCCUGUACUGGCGCUCAUGCACGAAAGCGUGGGGAGCAAACAGG
rnacentral:rRNA from 1 species